GACGAACCGUGCGAUCGUUGUUCGGAAUCACUGGGCUUAAAGGGCGCGUAGGCGGGUCAUCAAGUCCGGGGUGAAAUCUUUCGGCUUAACCGGAAAAUAGCCUUGGAUACUGGUGGUCUUGAGGGAGGCAGGGGCAGCGGGAACUUCCGGUGGAGCGGUGAAAUGCGUUGAUAUCGGGAGGAACGCCGGUGGCGAAAGCGCGCUGCUGGACCUUUUCUGACGCUGAGGCGCGAAAGCCAGGGGAGCAAACGGG
rnacentral:rRNA from 1 species